CUGAAUAGGUGCUCUGUGCACCAACAAUGAGUCAUGGACCACCGCAUCAAAAACUCAUGAUGUACUGUCUGGCGACUAACAGAACAUAAUAAAAAUUAGAAAAAUUUAAAAAAGAUUUCUAUCAUGAUAAUGAAGUAAAAAGUUUUAAGUUGGUGGUAAUUGGGCUUGAAAUAGAAACUUUAUUUUAGAGUAAUAGAAGACACUAGAACUUUCUAAAUAAAACUCUUUCUUUAUAAGAGUUAACAUUUGUUCAGUAUCUGCCGGAGUGUCUAGCACAAUACAUCUCAAAUCUUUCUCCUCCCUCUCUUUCUUCUUCUAAUAUGUGUGUACUUUGUUAUUUCUGAUGCCUCUUUUCCCUAGAGUUAUAGAAACACAUAAAUUUAUAGCUGUGUUCUGUUUCAGUUUUCUAUUGCUGUGUAAUAAAUUACCAUAAACUUAAUGGCUUAAAACAACACCCAUUUAUUAUCGCACAAUGCUGUAGAUCAGAAGUCAGGACAGGGCUCAGCUGGGUUCUCUUCCCAGCUCAAAUGUUUGGCAGAAUUUGGUUCCUCGCAGUGGUAAGCUCACAGUGGCUAGCUCACAGUGGCUUUCACUGUCUUCAAGGCAGGUAGAAGCAUUUCUCUGACGCUUCACCGUCUCCUAAGGGAUUUACCUGAUUAGGUCAGGUCCACUCACCCAGUGUCAUCUUCUGAAUAACAGUCAGCUGAUUAGUAACCACUCCAUGGGAAUAACGUUCCAUCAUCAUCAAAGGUCUGCCUGUCAGAGUGGACAGGGAGGGGAUUACGUAAUAGUUUAAGCUCCUGGAGGUCAUUUAAGAGUUCUGCCUACCAUAUUAUCGGCAAAAAAAGCUUAUACAAUUUUUCUACGGGGAAAGAAAGCGUGAACAUCUGUUGACUACCUCCUGGUCGCUAAGCAUGAUGUUAUGACCUCCAUGUAACAGAUGAGCAAAACCUAGUUUUACAGAGACUUGAGUCAGAGCAAAACCUAGUUUACAGAGACUCCCACUGAAUUCAAAAGCCAAACACAAAACCUUAGAGACAAAGUCUCUGAGAGCCUCUUUUUCUGUUGGUUGUUUUCAUGAACAGCUAUGGGCUCUUUUUCACCAGUUCAGAUCUAGAUGAGUUGUUGAAAACCUGUGAACCUGUUUCCCCAGGGAAGCUAUGUUAUAUGUGAUGGUGAGUUCCUGGGCUGUCCCAUAGAAUCCAACUUAACACAUACUUUCAGGAAGGUUGUCUUCCGAGUAAUCCAGAACCCCUCAGGUCCUAAUCCCUGAGCCCCCCAGAGGCAUUCAGAGUUCCUGGCACCUUGCAACUGGUGUGUGGAGCACCUCCACAGAGACAAAAGUGCCCUAGAUCCGGGGCCACACAGGGAGGGCAGGAGCAGCCCCUUCCUCAGCGGUAGGAACAGUUUCCUGCUCUGAGAAAUUGAGAUCACGUUUAGUUUAUUGUUUAGGUAGUUAUGUCAUAUGCUACAUACAGAAUCUUGUUAGUGUAAUUACCUGUUAGAGUGAAUCAGUUACCUAGUGCUAUCAGGUUUUUAGGUGGCUCCAUUGAAAUUGCACAGUGGGUUGAGAGUGAACGUGUGUGACAAUUUUUUUUAAAUCCUUCCGUUCGUUUUCUUUAAUGUCUGUAUAAAAAGCUAGCUUCUGAGGUUUGUUUAUACCCAACCAAAGUCUACAUGUUAGGUGGAAUAGUUGAAAGACGAGGCAGCCUCUCUUUUUCCACUUGCCCCUCUUGAGUUCCAUCAGGUUCCUCCUGUCUUGAUGACGAGCUUGAGGAAAGAGGGGAGACAUGAACUGUACCCAGGGAAUCCCUGCAGGAGGAAGGAGCCACUCUGAGGCUGAUGUGUUGAAGAGAAUCGCGGUGAUGCUCAUGGCCGGAGCUCGGGAGGAGCUAUGCCUGCGGAAUGGGGGCACACGGGGGGCGCUGCUGAGGGGGAAGAGUCCAAGGAAGGAGCGCCAGGCUUUCUUUUCCUUGAGCUCUUUCUGGUGCUGUGGCUUCGUGUUCUGCCACGGUGUCAGUCAUGGCUUUGUGACUUAGACGAGAUCAUUGCACUUUAUGAAUCUUGGGAACAGAGUCUUGAUGUUUGCCUAUAGGUGAACUUCUUUUAAUCCUUAAUUUCACCUUCUUUUCAUUCAUUGCCUCUGGUAAAAUAAAUAAAUAAAUGGUUCCUGUUCCCUUUUGAUCUUCAUUUCAGGUUAUUCAAAAUGUAUGGCCGACAGCCUUCAAAGGAAGGAUGCAGGCACGGGAUGUUUUAUUCAGUGUAUCGUUGCUCUAUCCUUUGGUGCAGCUAUUCAAAUUGCUUUGGAAGUGCCUGAAAGGUUGUCAUGCAUUUUGCCAACAGUAAAUGACAGGUGGUAAUAUAUAUGGUGAAUAUUCCGGCUGUCUAGGAAAUUACUGUUGCAGCCUCUAUUUCACGGAAGUUGUUUGUUUCUCACGUCCUGCUCAAAGUUCAGUCUGAGUUCUUCAAGUCAGAGAGAUGCAGGUCUUCCCUCUCAUGUAACAUGGGGAGUAAAAAUAAUAGAGAAUGCGAUAAUGCAUGGGAGAUGCAUAAAGCACAUGGUCACUUUUUAAACAGUUUUAGUAAUUCUGUGCCCUUGGGACAAAUGACAUCCCCUUCUUAGGCACUCUCCUCCCCUACCCCCCAGGACAUCCACUUCCUCUUUCCUUGACUGCAAGUGAAAUCUUUCGAAGAUCAUUACCUUAGUGCCCCCUAAUGAAAUGUAAAUAAAAUGAAUGAUUACAAUUUGAUUAUGGGUCCAGUAUUUAUGAGGCUCCUGGUAACUUGCUGCAUAAAUUUAAGUAUGUGAGUAAAUUCUCCCGGGGAUAGUCAAUGUGAGAGUAUUUUAUUUUUCUUUCCUAUUUUUUUAUGACAUACUAAUUCUUUUCACCUCUGAAUUCUUUAUUGUUGUUUCUGCCCUAGAAGAAGUAGGACCCUGGAAAAUAGAUAUAUUUUUUUUUUCCUGGGUGACUUUUAUGGUCCCUGUAGGGUUUGGACCAGACCUAAGUUUCUGCCUGAUCCCAACCUGUCACGAGAAUGUUGAAAUAGAGGAAUGCAAACUUGCUUUAAAUUCCCAUACUGUAUCCAUCUCCACACGAAGAAAAGCGUAUGAACAUUUCUCUCCUCGGCCUUUUCUGGUAAAGUGCAUCAAAUUUCAAGUCUGUACUUACAUAGAAAUCACAAGGGGAUGGGUUAACCCCAUUCUUUGAUUACUUAGGGAUAUUGAGCAUUUUAAGCUUUUUAUUUCACCAUCUAGAUACUGGAAGCUAGCCUCCCGCUCGCUUUAAUGCUCAAUAUCACUUUGCCCUGCAGUCUUUUCUUUCUGGAAGAAUUAUUCUGGUGAGACUUCUACAGGGCAUACUCUUUUCUGCCAUAACCCUUGCCAAUCCUGUGGAGUAUUUUCUAUGGCAGGACACAGAAUAACCCUUAAAGCUUGGGCAUGUUACCCAACCUGGUUGCGUCCCAUAGGAAAAGGAAGUUGAAUUUUAAUUUAGUUCAUAGGAGUUUAGUUUUAGUUCAUGAACUGCCAUGGGAUUUCAUGGGAGCAUUUCAUAUCAUAGGGCUGGGUCUCAAGAAUCCCCUGUUUUUGAGGUAGUGACCUCUGAUGUCUGGACAAAUCUUGGAACUGAAACGGGUGAAAAUACAUUAAUAGCCAAUUAUCUGUGGGCUUUUUGUUUUGUUUUUUAAAACUUCUUUCCCCUGCAAAGUAGAAAGGAAAAUGGACUAUCUGAACGACAGGCUUCUCUUAUAAAGUGACUGUCCCUCCGGCACACAAGGCAGCUGUAACACAUCCCCUCCCAUUUUGAGUCCCACAUUGGUAGAGAAGGGGGUGAGCUCACGAAAGAGACUGCCAGCUUAGAUCACUUACAUGCUCAAAGACUGAUUUCCCAAGUUGACUGAGCAGACAGAAAAGGAAAAUUGAAGAUGAGAACCCUUGUCAUACUGUGAAUUGGAUUAUUUGUCAAGGAACCAAAGACUAAGUUCCCUUCAAAUGUGGGGUUGAUAAGAGAUCCUUCCAAUGUGAUUCCAGGUUUCAGGUUUUCUGGGAAAAGGGUAAGAUCUUGUCAGUAGUCCGUCACCAGAGGUCUUUCUUGACUAGGUGUCAGCUGUUUGGCAUGAUUACAGAAUUAUCAAAACUUGUAGCUUUAGACUUCUCCUUUCCUACUCCCUGAACCCAAAGUCUUCUUGUUGCCUUCGCCAACCCCCACUUCAUCCCCAUCCCUGGUCCAGGGCAGAGCAAAGCACUUGAGGAUCUUUGUCUCCCAUAGUAGCUCUCAGCUUUUCUCUGAAGCCGUUUCCAAGCUACAUGGCUAUGAUGGCGCUUUGUAGAUGAUGCUGUACAUUAUCACUGGCUGGCGUGGAGUUGAGUAGCAGGUAAUAUGUUGGACUUCUCAAGAUAGCCCAGAAUAAUCCUGAUUAUUCCAGUCAGCAAUGGUAACUAAGCCUUCUAGAAAUAUUCCCCCCAGUUGAAUUUGAUGCCUUCACCCCCUGUGCUUAUACUUGCAAUGAUUUUAUUAACUAUUAAUUAACUCUUUGCUUUGUCCUGUAUUUAUUGAAUGCCUCCUAUAUGUGAGCAUUAUGCUAAUUAUUUAGUAUAAAACGGUAAACAGAAAAGUCAUGACCUUUGCUCUCUUUGGAUUUAUAUUAAUACAUUUUAUUUAAAAUAUAUCCUGAUUUUUAAAGAUGUUCUGAAGGAAAGGAGCAGAAUAUUCUAGGUGAGGGUAAUUGUGGGUCUACUUUAGAUUGGGAGGUCAGGAGCAUAAAUGAUAGUUGAGUUGAGUUCAAUAUUUUAAUUUAGUAAGGUAGAAGAAAGGCAUUUUUUUCUCGGAUAAAAUUUGCUGUUCUAUUUCAUCAUAGGGUAUUUCAAGCAGUUGACAUCAUAGAUCCUUUAUGUAUAUUUAAAAUCUUAGAGUGCUAAUCAGGGAACAGACUUUAGAUGUUACAGGAAAAAAAAAAAAAAAGGCCAAAUGGAGUAAUUCAAAAUGUAUAACAUGUUUA